rnacentral:rRNA from 1 species
GACGAACGCUGGCGGCGUGCUUAACACAUGCAAGUCGAACGGAAAGGCCCUGCUUUUGUGGGGUGCUCGAGUGGCGAACGGGUGAGUAACACGUGAGUAACCUGCCCUUGACUUUGGGAUAACUUCAGGAAACUGGGGCUAAUACCGGAUAGGAGCUCCUGCUGCAUGGUGGGGGUUGGAAAGUUUCGGCGGUUGGGGAUGGACUCGCGGCUUAUCAGCUUGUUGGUGGGGUAGUGGCUUACCAAGGCUUUGACGGGUAGCCGGCCUGAGAGGGUGACCGGCCACAUUGGGACUGAGAUACGGCCCAGACUCCUACGGGAGGCAGCAGUGGGGAAUAUUGCACAAUGGGCGGAAGCCUGAUGCAGCAACGCCGCGUGCGGGAUGACGGCCUUCGGGUUGUAAACCGCUUUCGCCUGUGACGAAGCGUGAGUGACGGUAAUGGGUAAAGAAGCACCGGCUAACUACGUGCCAGCAGCCGCGGUGAUACGUAGGGUGCGAGCGUUGUCCGGAUUUAUUGGGCGUAAAGGGCUCGUAGGUGGUUGAUCGCGUCGGAAGUGUAAUCUUGGGGCUUAACCCUGAGCGUGCUUUCGAUACGGGUUGACUUGAGGAAGGUAGGGGAGAAUGGAAUUCCUGGUGGAGCGGUGGAAUGCGCAGAUAUCAGGAGGAACACCAGUGGCGAAGGCGGUUCUCUGGGCCUUUCCUGACGCUGAGGAGCGAAAGCGUGGGGAGCGAACAGGCUUAGAUACCCUGGUAGUCCACGCUGUAAACGGUGGGUACUAGGUGUGGGGUCCAUUCCACGGGUUCCGUGCCGUAGCUAACGCUUUAAGUACCCCGCCUGGGGAGUACGGCCGCAAGGCUAAAACCCAAAGGAAUUGACGGGGCCCCGCACAAGCGGCGGAGCAUGCGGAUUAAUUCGAUGCAACGCGUAGAACCUUACCUGGGUUUGACAUGGAUCGGGAGUGCUCAGAGAUGGGUGUGCCUCUUUUGGGGUCGGUUCACAGGUGGUGCAUGGCUGUCGUCAGCUCGUGUCGUGAGAUGUUGGGUUAAGUCCCGCAACGAGCGCAACCCUUGUUCACUGUUGCCAGCACGUUAUGGUGGGGACUCAGUGGAGACCGCCGGGGUCAACUCGGAGGAAGGUGGGGAUGACGUCAAGUCAUCAUGCCCCUUAUGUCCAGGGCUUCACGCAUGCUACAAUGGCUGGUACAGAGAGUGGCGAGCCUGUGAGGGUGAGCGAAUCUCGGAAAGCCGGUCUCAGUUCGGAUUGGGGUCUGCAACUCGACCUCAUGAAGUCGGAGUCGCUAGUAAUCGCAGAUCAGCAACGCUGCGGUGAAUACGUUCCCGGGGC